rnacentral:rRNA from 1 species
UACGGAGGAUGCAAGCGUUAUCCGGAAUGAUUGGGCGUAAAGCGUCCGCAGGUGGCAAUGUAAGUCUGCUGUUAAAGAGUCUAGCUCAACUAGAUAAAAGCAGUGGAAACUACAUAGCUAGAGUACGUUCGGGGCAGAGGGAACUCCUGGUGUAGCGGUGAAAUGCGUAGAGAUCAGGAAGAACACCGGUGGCGAAGGCGCUCUGCUAGGCCGUAACUGACACUGAGGGACGAAAGCUAGGGGAGCGAAUGGG